ACAACUGCAUCAGCCUGCAGCGUCUAAGCUCACCACUUCCUGGAACCAGCUGGAUAUGUCAGCGCUGCUCAGGAUGCAAUGGAGGCACAGCAAAGAGACCGGAGGGGUCAAACUUCCUAAAAAUGUCUAAAAUAUCUCAACCAACAAUUGUUUUCCUCACCAUCGAAACUUGAUACAUUGUACAAGCUGAUCAGAGAGGGCUGAGAUGUCUGUGCUGCGUAAGGUUAGCAGAGGAAAUAAGUGAAGCGAACAAGGAGGAAGUGCUGACUGUGUUGUGUGGACUCCCUCUGAAUAUGGCUACAAAAUCAUGGGAAAGACUGCUGGAUUGAUAGAUGUCCAGAAGAAAGUUACUGCCACCCUCCACCAGAAAGAUGAUAAGCCAGAAAAAGUCA